rnacentral:lncRNA from 1 species
UCAGACUCACACAUCAGACAUAGAGAUGAAAAAAGAGAUGAAGAAGAAAAAAAAUAUUGUUUUCACUCAAUCUGUGUUUUCAUUUCCUUUAUGUUUUAGGAGCCAUCAGACAAAAGGGCAAGAGUAGAAACAAAAUCCAUUUCAAAAUGCAGAGAAAAGAAAUGAACAGCAACAACAACAAUGACAAAAAAAGCCAAAAGGCAAUAUGGAACCCUCCAUGGGACAGACCUUCCUUCUCUUGAAGUUUCAAGACUCUCAGUGGAAAGGGGACUGGGCAUUGAGCUUGCCUCUGGAAAAACAAACAAUAAAACAACAAGUUAUAUAGAUCCUUGAAAGUCCAUAAUAUAGUAAUUACUCAUGCAAAUGCAAUAUUGAGACUGCAUAUUGAGAAUGCAUAUUAGUUGGAAAAUGCAUAACAAUGUUUUGUAUUUUCUUUACAAAUAGUGCUUCUGUAUGUGCAAAGUACUGGAUGAUGUGGCAUUGACACUGCAGUGAACAGCAAUACCUUUAGAAGAAGAAUAGAGGGUAUGGAAGGGCUGAGAAAAAGCACUUGAUUAUAAAAUAAAGCACCAAAUCCUUUAUUUGAGAGAGGAUCCCAGUAUAGUAUUAUGUGAUAUUCAGCUUUCAGUGUCAAUCUCUUAGAAUUUCCAUGACAUCAUGAACAUCUUGGGACGGAGUUU